rnacentral:rRNA from 1 species
UACGAGGGGGGCAAGCGUUGUUCGGAAUUAUUGGGCGUAAAGGGCGCGUAGGCGGUCUGACAAGUCUUGUGUGAAAUCUCUGGGCUCAACCCAGAGUCUGCACAGGAAACUGUCGGGCUAGAGUAUGGGAGAGGUGCGUGGAAUUUCCGGUGUAGCGGUGAAAUGCGUAGAUAUCGGAAGGAACACCUGUGGCGAAAGCGGCGCACUGGACCAAAACUGACGCUGAGGCGCGAAAGCUAGGGGAGCAAACAGG